rnacentral:rRNA from 1 species
UUUUAUUUGAGAGUUUGAUCCUGGCUCAGGAUGAACGCUGGCGGCGUGCCUAACACAUGCAAGUUGAGCGAUUUACUUCGGUAAAGAGCGGCGGACGGGUGAGUAACGCGUGGGUAACCUACCCUGUACACACGGAUAACAUACCGAAAGGUAUGCUAAUACGGGAUAAUAUAUUUGAGAGGCAUCUCUUGAAUAUCAAAGGUGAGCCAGUACAGGAUGGACCCGCGUCUGAUUAGCUAGUUGGUAAGGUAACGGCUUACCAAGGCGACGAUCAGUAGCCGACCUGAGAGGGUGAUCGGCCACAUUGGAACUGAGACACGGUCCAAACUCCUACGGGAGGCAGCAGUGGGGAAUAUU